rnacentral:tRNA from 2 species
GCGGGUGUAGCUCAGUGGUAGAGCGCGACCUUGCCAAGGUCGAUGUCGUGAGUUCGAAUCUCAUCACCCGCUCCA